AGAGUGAACGCUGGCGGUAGGCCUAACACAUGCAAGUCGAACGGCAGCACGGUAAGAGCUUGCUCUUAUGGGUGGCGAGUGGCGGACGGGUGAGGAAUACAUCGGAAUCUACCUUUUGGUGGGGGAUAACGUAGGGAAACUUACGCUAAUACCGCAUACGCCCUUCGGGGGAAAGCCGGGGACCAGCAAUGGCCUGGCGCUGAUAGAUGAGCCGAUGUCGGAUUAGCUAGUUGGUGAGGUAAUGGCUCACCAAGGCGACGAUCCGUAGCUGGUCUGAGAGGAUGAUCAGCCACACUGGAACUGAGACACGGUCAGACUCUACGGGAGCAGCAGUGGGAAUCUGCGCAAGUGGCGAAGCCUGACGCGAGCCAUGCCGCGUGAUGAGUGAAGUC
rnacentral:rRNA from 1 species